GGGGGCUUCCUCCCAAUUGUGUAGAAGAAACAGGCAAUACAGAAGGAAACAGUGAGAGGAAAGAGGAUGUUUGGAUAAGAUGUAGGACAAACCAUAGCUACAGAGGUCAGGUUGUAGAAGCCUGGUCAUGGAUUUGCCCACAGAAACUGGAUAAAUUGAUCAAAAACAGAGGUGUGGGGUUUUUUGUAAGUAAUUCCUAAAGUUUAUAUUUUUAAACAUGUAAUAACAGUGGAAAUUUGA
rnacentral:lncRNA from 1 species